GACGUAGGGGGCCAGCGUUGCUCGGAAUUACUGGGCGUAAAGGGUUCGUAGGCGGUGCGGCAAGUCGGAAGUGAAAUCUCCAGGCUCAACUUGGAGGCUGCUCCCGAAACUGCCGUGCUAGAGUGCGGGAGAGGCCAGUGGAAUUGCAGGUGUAGCGGUGAAAUGCGUAGAUAUCUGCAGGAACACCCGUGGCGAAGGCGGCUGGCUGGACCGCAACUGACGCUGAGGAACGAAAGCCAGGGGAGCAAACGGG
rnacentral:rRNA from 1 species